rnacentral:rRNA from 1 species
AAUGAACGCUGGCGGCGUGCCUAACACAUGCAAGUCGAGCGCUCCCAGCAAUGGGGAGCGGCGGACGGGUGAGUAACGCGUAGGAACGUAUCCUGAGGUGGGGGAGUAACCCUGGGAAACUAGGGCUAAUACCGCAUGAUGGCGAGAGCCCAAAGAUUUAUCGCCUUGGGAGCGGCCUGCGUCUGAUUAGCUUGUUGGUGGGGUAACGGCCUACCAAGGCGAUGAUCAGUAGCUGGUCUGAGAGGAUGAUCAGCCACACUGGGACUGAGACACGGCCCACGACUCCCUACGGGAGGCAGCAGUGGGGAAUAUUGGACAAUGGGCGAAAGCCUGAUCCAGCAAUGCCGCGUGGAUGAAGAAGGUCUUUCGGAUUGUAAAGUCCUUUCGGCGGGGACGAUGAUGACGGUACCCGCAGAAGAAGCCCCGGCUAACUUCGUG